rnacentral:tRNA from 1 species
AAUAAAAUGGCUGAGAUUAUAAGCGAUAAAUUGUAAAUUUAUUAACAAGAUAAAUUCUUUUUUAUUA